UACAGAGGAUGCAAGCGUUAUCCGGAAUGAUUGGGCGUAAAGCGUCUGUAGGUGGCUUUUUAAGUCCGCCGUCAAAUCCCAGGGCUCAACUCUGGACAGGCGGUGGAAACUACCAAGCUUGAGUACGGUAGGGGCAGAGGGAAUUUCCAGUGGAGCGGUGAAAUGCGUAGAUAUUGGAAAGACCACCGAUGGCGAAGGCACUCUACUGGGCCAUUACUGACACUGAGAGACGAAAGCUAGGGGAGCAAAUGGG
rnacentral:rRNA from 1 species